rnacentral:rRNA from 1 species
CUCGAGGCCAGAUCUAGAGUUUGAUCCUGGCUGAGGACGAACGCUGGCGGCGCGCCUAAUGCAUGCAAGUCGAGCGACGCAUGCCCCAUUCGUAAGAAAGGGGUAUGACGGAGCGGCGAACGGGUGAGUAACACGUGAGCAACCUGCCCCAGAGACCGGGAUAGCCCGAGGAAACUCGGAUUAAUACCGGAUACCCUCAUCGGACCGCAUGAUCUGAUGAGGAAAUGCUUUUGCGCUUUGGGAUGGGCUUGCGGCCUAUCAGCUUGUUGGUGAGGUAACGGCUCACCAAGGCAACGACGGGUAGCUGGUCUGAGAGGACGAUCAGCCACACUGGAACUGAGACACGGUCCAGACUCCUACGGGAGGCAGCAGCAGGGAAUCUUGCGCAAUGGGCGAAAGCCUGACGCAGCGACGCCGCGUGAGGGAUGAAGGCCUUCGGGUUGUAAACCUCUUUCAGGAGGGAAGAAAAUGACGGUACCUCCAGAAGAAGCCCCGGCCAACUACGUGCCAGCAGCCGCGGUAACACGUAGGGGGCGAGCGUUGUCCGGAAUCAUUGGGCGUAAAGGGCUCGUAGGCGGCUUAGUAAG